CAGUCGCCGCGGUAAUACGAAGGGGGCUAGCGUUGUUCGGAUUUACUGGGCGUAAAGCGCACGUAGGCGGACUUUUAAGUCAGGGGUGAAAUCCCGGGGCUCAACCCCGGAACUGCCUUUGAUACUGGAAGUCUUGAGUAUGGUAGAGGUGAGUGGAAUUCCGAGUGUAGAGGUGAAAUUCGUAGAUAUUCGGAAGAACACCAGUGGCGAAGGCGGCUCACUGGCUCAUACUGGACGCUGAGGUGCGAAAGCGUGGGGAGCAAACAGGAUUAGAUACCCCCGUAGUCCCUGUCUCUUAUAC
rnacentral:rRNA from 1 species